UACGUAGGGACCAAGCGUUGUUCGGAUUUACUGGGCGUAAAGGGCGCGUAGGCGGGUGCUCAAGUCCGGGGUGAAAUCCUCCAGCUCAACUGGAGAACUGCCUCGGAUACUGGGUGUCUCGAGGGUGGUAGGGGUAUGCGGAACUAUCGGUGGAGCGGUGAAAUGCGUUGAUAUCGAUAGGAACUCCGGUGGCGAAGGCGGCAUACUGGACCACAUCUGACGCUGAGGCGCGAAAGCCAGGGGAGCAAACGGG
rnacentral:rRNA from 1 species